rfam:Archaeon Heimdall LC_3 HeimC3_contig000091, whole genome shotgun sequence.
ACUUUGAAGCAACCAGAGAUAGCUACCCGUACUUGCGUUGUUGGUAACGACAGGGUGAGAAGCUACGGGGACAAUGUACUACAAACGACCAGCUACAGGUUAUUUGUGGG